GCUUGGCUCAGGUGCUGACUAUUUGGUAAACAGGCAGCAGUCCUGUGAUGAGACACUGUGAUUCACUGACUACUUAUCAUUGGAAAUGAAAAUUGAGAAUGUCAUUACAGAAUGGAUCUGCCUUCCUUGUGUCAACAUUCUAGCAAUGAAGGAGGACUACAGUGAACCUUUUUAUACAACCACAAUCCCAGAAGUUUUGGUAAAACGUCGCAGAGGAUGGGAGCAUUUCAAGCAACGUCCAGACUCUUCUCGUACAAAAUGUUUCCUCUGGGCUUGGGAGAUAUAUGCUCUAUACAUAGUUCUAAUAUGUAUUUCUUGUAAAGUGGAUGCUCUCAAGACACGUAACGUUUUGUCAUAUUGGCUGAAUAUAGUAUCCGUUGUAUUUGUAUGUGUAAUAAAUCUAGUCCAUGAUGAUUUAA